rnacentral:rRNA from 1 species
UACGAAGGGGGCUAGCGUUGCUCGGAAUCACUGGGCGUAAAGCGCACGUAGGCGGAUUGCUAAGUCAGGGGUGAAAUCCUGGAGCUCAACUCCAGAACUGCCUUUGAUACUGGCGACCUUGAGUCCGGGAGAGGUGAGUGGAACUGCGAGUGUAGAGGUGAAAUUCGUAGAUAUUCGCAAGAACACCAGUGGCGAAGGCGAGCUCAC